rnacentral:lncRNA from 10 species
UUUUCCUCCACGCUGUUCACGGUACAGAGCCUCAGUACCCGGACCUCGUUCUGCUGCCCGAUGCGGUGAGCUCGGUCUUGGGCCUGCAGAUCCUGUUUGGGGGGUCAAUAUGCUAUGAGGACUGAGAUGCCUGGCAUAGGCAUCCAAAACCGGACCCCACCCCAGAGGGAAAUAUGGAAGGGUUCUGUAUUUCACCUUCACUAAGAGGGAGGCCUGGGCACCUGAGUGGGACAUGCAGACCUGAUGAGGAUUCCAGUCGCUGUCAAAGAUGACCACUGUAUCAGCUGCCUGAAGAUUUAAGCCCAGGCCACCAGCUCUUGUGCUCAGCAAGAAAAUGAAAUACUGGGAUCCAGGUUCAUUGAAUUUCUUCAGCAAAGCAGCACGAUCUUCAGACUUGGUGGUGCCUGAGGGGAUCAGAAAAAUUAAUUUGCCAAUUAACUCUUGUCUGAAAAUGGCACAGAAUGAGACAAAAAGGCUUGCUUCCUUCAAGAAAUAUACCCAGACUCCUCCUAACACUGGUGAGAAUUGGCUUUCUGAGAUCAUGGUGAACUAUCUGUUCACGACGCUAAUGGAAGAUAUUUCUGCUGUGAAACCUUCUCUAUCAUCUUUCCAGCUACAAGAAUUUUUUUAAAAAUUACAUGUAUUAAUGGUUCACAUAUUUCUCCUCUGCCUUAAACUGAAUGAAAAGCCACAGAAACCAAAAAUUUCUUCUAAAAUGGGGAAAGAAGAGAUCAUGGCAUCUGUGUUUCUGAAAACUGGGUACAAAACUAUACAUCUAUACUCUCAGGAUAGAAGUUCAACAGUUUUGAUUAACUGAAAAUGAACCAGCUGAUAAUCACACGGAUUAAUGAAACCGAACAGUUAAUCUCAUCAGGUCUGCCUGCCCUGCAUGCUUCUGGUUUCUUGCUUUUUGUUAUUUUUGUUUUCUCUUUUUCCAUGAAGCUGAAGGCUGCAGUAGCUGAAGGUCUUGCUGCUGAAUGCUCAAACUUGACCUUCACUGGCUACUUUACAGAUAACAUGCAUACGUCACCAUGGUAAUGGUUACUUCAGUUGUUUUUCAGGAACUUUGGCCAGCUCUGUCCAGUUCAAACCCGUUGACACCACUGGCCCUUAAACUGGGCCUGAGCGCAAGUGCCCAAGAGAUGGCCUUUUGAUGUUGGAGAGCCAAAAACUCCACCAUCAGAUCAUGCUGACUCUGCCAUUUUUUGUAUGUAUGUCCUAGGAAAUGCCAUGAACCCUGGCUAUGCCUGUGUAGAACGAACCUGUGAUUUCAUUUUUCCCCACUGCCAAUCACCUUUCCCUGUGCCUUACACCACCCCACUUCCUUACCCCAUAAAUAUCCCUAAACCUUAUCUUCAGGGAGGUAGAGUUGAGGGCUGUUCUUCCAUCUUUAUGCUUGGUGCCCUUGUGAAUAAAUCUUUUCUCUUUUGCAAAAC